GGGGCGGUUAGCUCAGCGGGAGAGCAUCGGCCUUACAAGCCGGGGGUCACAGGUUCAAAUCNNGUUAGAACGCCGGCCUGUCACGCCGGAGGUCGCGAGUUCGAGUCUCGUCGGCCCCGCCA
rnacentral:tRNA from 1 species